rnacentral:other from 1 species
ACGGUUAUAAAUCAACAUAUUGAUUUAUAAGCAUGGAAAUCCCCUGAGUGAUACAACGAAUUGCUGUGUGUAGUCUUUGCCCAUCUCCCACGAUGGGCUUUUUUUUAA